rnacentral:rRNA from 1 species
GACGGAAGGUGCAAGCGUUGCUCGGAAUCAUUGGGCGUAAAGGGUGCGUAGGCGGCUUGGUAAGUCGGGUGUGAAAGCCCUGGGCUCAGCCCGGGAAGGGCACUCGAAACUGCCGAGCUGGAGUGCCGGAGGGGAGAGUGGAAUUCCUGGUGUAGCGGUGAAAUGCGUAGAGAUCAGGAGGAAUACCGGUGGCGAAAGCGACUCUCUGGACGGCAACUGACGCUGAGGCACGAAAGCGUGGGGAGCAAACAGG